AUUCCAGCUCCAGUAGCGUAUAUUAAUGUUGUUGCAGUUAAAAAGCUCGUAGUUGGAUUUCUGACUUGACGCGCCUGGCCCGCCUUGCAUUUCGCGGGUGAGUGCCGGAGCGCGUCGGUCAUCCUUCUAGAGAACGGCGCUACCCUUCACUGGGUCGGCGUCGCAAUCUAGAUCUUUUACUUUGAAAAAAUUAGAGUGUUCAAGGCAGGCUCGCGCUGUGAAUACAUUAGCAUGGAAUAAUAAUCUAGGACUUUGUUCCUAUUUUGUUGGUUUCUAGGAAUUAAGUAAUGAUUGAUAGGGAUAGUUGGGGGUGCUAGCAUUCAGCGGCCAGAGGUGAAAUUCUUGGAUUCGCUGAAGACUAACUUAUGCGAAAGCAUUCACCAAGGAUGUCUUCAUCA
rnacentral:rRNA from 1 species